GGGGCCGUAGCUCAGCUGGGAGAGCGCAUCAAUGGCAUUGAUGAGGUCGGCGGUUCGAACCCGCUCGGCUCCA
rnacentral:tRNA from 1 species